UGACGCUCCCUCCGGCCUGCGCGUGCUGCACGGCGCCCCUCGGCCCCAGAGGCUGACACGGCGAGCCAACAUCCGAUGUUCGGCUCCUUCGCCUACACACGCAGCCGUGGCUCCCGGCGGCUACCGGCCACGGCCCCCACGCCAUGGUGGCGCACGACGCGUCUCCACGCCCCAUGGCCGCUCACGGCACAUCGGUCGGCGAAGACGGCGGCAGCCAGCACCCACCCAGGCGCGGCAAGUCUCACGAUCUGGCAAACUUCGUCGGCGACCCAUGGCCUGGACAGCGCUCCCUCGGCCAGCCUCCUAGCGGAGCGGUAGCAUCCUUCGGCCCGGCUGCUCCCAGCGCUACACCUGGAGGCGGCCGCAGCGGCCAACGGCCGGUGCCAGGCAUGGCGAUGCCCUCAGGCACGCGGCAGCGCGGUCCACAGCCCGGGCAGUGGCGACGCCGCAGCCCUCGGCUUGCAUCCGUGCAGGCGGCGCCCGAGGCAACGGCCCGACGCUAGCCCUUCGGCCACGGUGGCGGCUGCUCCCUCUGUCGUGGCUCCCCGCGGUGGAGACGACGGCGGGCUCAUAGUCGUGGCCCUGGCCGUCGAGCCAAAACGGCGACGAGGUGGUUACACGAUUUCUCCUGGUGGAAAUCGCUGGGGAGGAAAGAGAUAGAACCGAACCUUAUCUCUUUGCUAGUUUUGUAAUUUAGCCCUUGCGGCUUACCUAUUUACGGAAUAGCCCAAAACUUGUGUCUGUCAUCAUUUUGUGGCUACUUCCGGGAUGUUUCGGGAUAUUGCAGCUUGGUCCAACUACUUGCUAUUUAUAGCACUGGUAAUGUUUAGGCCAUAUACCGAU